UGCUGGAGGUAUCAGAAGUGCGAAUGCUGACAUAAGUAACGAUAAAGCGGGUGAAAAGCCCGCUCGCCGGAAGACCAAGGGUUCCUGUCCAACGUUAAUCGGGGCAGGGUGAGUCGACCCCUAAGGCGAGGCCGAAAGGCGUAGUCGAUGGGAAACAGGUUAAUAUUCCUGUACUUGGUGUUACUGCGAAGGGGGGACGGAGAAGGCUAUGUUGGCCGGGCGACGGUUGUCCCGGUUUAAGCGUGUAGGCUGGUUUUCCAGGCAAAUCCGGAAAACCAAGGCUGAGGCGUGAUGACGAGGCACUACGGUGCUGAAGCGACAAAUGCCCUGCUUCCAGGAAAAGCCUCUAAGCAUCAGGUAACAUCAAAUCGUACCCCAAACCGACACAGGUGGUCAGGUAGAGAAUACCAAGGCGCUUGAGAGAACUCGGGUGAAGGAACUAGGCAAAAUGGUGCCGUAACUUCGGGAGAAGGCACGCUGAUAUGUAGGUGAAGCGACUUGCUCGUGGAGCUGAAAUCAGUCGAAGAUACCAGCUGGCUGCAACUGUUUAUUAAAAACACAGCACUGUGCAAACACGAAAGUGGACGUAUACGGUGUGACGCCUGCCCGGUGCCGGAAGGUUAAUUGAUGGGGUUAGCGGUAACGCGAAGCUCUUGAUCGAAGCCCCGGUAAACGGCGGCCGUAACUAUAACGGUCCUAAGGUAGCGAAAUUCCUUGUCGGGUAAGUUCCGACCUGCACGAAUGGCGUAAUGAUGGCCAGGCUGUCUCCACCCGAGACUCAGUGAAAUUGAACUCGCUGUGAAGAUGCAGUGUACCCGCGGCAAGACGGAAAGACCCCGUGAACCUUUACUAUAGCUUGACACUGAACAUUGAGCCUUGAUGUGUAGGAUAGGUGGGAGGCUUUGAAGUGUGGACGCCAGUCUGCAUGGAGCCGACCUUGAAAUACCACCCUUUAAUGUUUGAUGUUCUAACGUUGGCCCCUAAUCGGGGUUGCGGACAGUGUCUGGUGGGUAGUUUGACUGGGGCGGUCUCCUCCUAAAGAGUAACGGAGGAGCACGAAGGUUGGCUAAUCCUGGUCGGACAUCAGGAGGUUAGUGCAAUGGCAUAAGCCAGCUUGACUGCGAGCGUGACGGCGCGAGCAGGUGCGAAAGCAGGUCAUAGUGAUCCGGUGGUUCUGAAUGGAAGGGCCAUCGCUCAACGGAUAAAAGGUACUCCGGGGAUAACAGGCUGAUACCGCCCAAGAGUUCAUAUCGACGGCGGUGUUUGGCACCUCGAUGUCGGCUCAUCACAUCCUGGGGCUGAAGUAGGUCCCAAGGGUAUGGCUGUUCGCCAUUUAAAGUGGUACGCGAGCUGGGUUUAGAACGUCGUGAGACAGUUCGGUCCCUAUCUGCCGUGGGCGCUGGAGAACUGAGGGGGGCUGCUCCUAGUACGAGAGGACCGGAGUGGACGCAUCACUGGUGUUCGGGUUGUCAUGCCAAUGGCACUGCCCGGUAGCUAAAUGCGGAAGAGAUAAGUGCUGAAAGCAUCUAAGCACGAAACUUGCCCCGAGAUGAGUUCUCCCUGACUCCUUGAGGGUCCUGAAGGAACGUUGAAGACGACGACGUUGAUAGGCCGGGUGUGUAAGCGCAGCGAUGCGUUGAGCUAACCGGUACUAAUGAACCGUGAGGCUUAACCUU
rnacentral:rRNA from 1 species